rnacentral:rRNA from 1 species
UACGUAGGGACCGAGCGUUGUCCGGAAUCAUUGGGCGUAAAGAGCGUGUAGGCGGCCGAUCAAGUUCCGCGUGAAUCUCACGGCUCAACCGUGAGCAGCCGUGGAAACUGGUCGGCUAGAGUGCGGGAGAGGAGAGUGGAAUUCCUGGUGUAGCGGUGAAAUGCGCAGAUAUCAGGAAGAACACCCGUGGCGAAGGCGGCUCUCUGGAACGCAACUGACGCUGAGACGCGAAAGCGUGGGAGCGAAACAGG